rnacentral:rRNA from 1 species
AUGCAGAUUUGGUCGGCGCUGGGGAGCUGGCCGAGCUCGGUGAGCCACUUCUUCGGUGCCGCCGGUGGCGCGGUCGCCGGCGGCCCGAGCGUGAGCAUCCAGGACGCGCUGGCGAACACGAGGACCGACGACGCCGGCGCGCUGCUGCGCGAGGGCACCGCAGCGCUGCUCAACUCCAUGACCCGCCCGGGGUUCGGCUACACCACCCAGCUGGUGAGGGACGCAUUCACGGCGGCCGCGGCUGGUGGCUCCGACAGUGCCGCGGCGGCGCAGGUGGCGGCGUUCAAGAAGGCCAACGAGGGGAAGAAGGCAUAG